rnacentral:rRNA from 1 species
GACGAACGCUGGCGGCGUGCUUAACACAUGCAAGUCGAACGGAAAGGCCCUGCUUUUGUGGGGUGCUCGAGUGGCGAACGGGUGAGUAACACGUGAGUAACCUGCCCUUGACUUUGGGAUAACUUCAGGAAACUGGGGCUAAUACCGGAUAGGAGCUCCUGCUGCAUGGUGGGGGUUGGAAAGUUUCGGCGGUUGGGGAUGGACUCGCGGCUUAUCAGCUUGUUGGUGGGGUAGUGGCUUACCAAGGCGUUGACGGGUAGCCGGCCUGAGAGGGUGACCGGCCACAUUGGGACUGAGAUACGGCCCAGACUCCUACGGAAGGCAGCAGUGGGGAAUAUUGGACAAUGGGCGGAAGCCUGAUGCAGCAACGCCGCGUGCGGGAUGACGGCCUUCGGGUUGUAAACCGCUUUCGCCUGUGACGAAGCGUGAGUGACGGUAAUGGGUAAAGAAGCACCGGCUAACUACGUGCCAGCCGCCGCGGUAAAAC